UCCCGAGUAAUACAUACUAAAUAGGCACAACUAAUUGAGAAUCCUAUCAAUCAACUACAACAAGAACGUAGUUGAACAAAUAGAGAUUAAAAUGGGCAAACUAUAUUAAUAUAACAAGAAGUUCAUCCUCAACAGGUUCCAUCAAAAACCCUAGACUAAGGAAUUAGCUACUCAUAGCAAAGCAAGAUACAACUACAAAAGUAUUCAUAAUGUGCAAUUGAAAUAACAAAGAGAAGAUUGAAAAACUCUAAUGGUUGAUUGCUCUUCUCACACUUGUUAUCGCCUCCAAAUCAGUCUAAAAACAAGCUUUCCUUUGCUUGGGAGAGUUUGUUGAGUUUAUAAGGGGCUAGGAUAAGUUUCCCCCGAUUUACACUUUAGUCCAACAAUUUCUGGGCAAUUACACAGUCGACCAGGGCUGUGGCAGAACACGGCGCGACCGGGGUGAACCACAAACAUUCUGCCUCGCUUUCUUGGCCUACCGCGGUCGCGGUGACCUCCAUCCCUGUCCUCCUUUGCCUCUUCCUUGCUUAAUUUUGUUUGGGUGCUUCUUGAUUGGCUUUUAUCCAUAUUAUUGACUCCAAAACACUCCAUAGGCUCUUUCUAACUUGGAUUAGUCCCUGCGAAGCAAAAGAACACCAAUUAGAGUAUCUUGUUAUCAUUUAGCCUGUAAAACAACAAUAAAGAAUGGUACAUUUAGAGUGUAAAUAUCGUCUAUAUAGCCUAUUAUCAAUGAGAUUAUAGUUACAUACCUGAAAAACUACGCCAGACUCAGCUAGCUUCCCUUAUUCUCCCCUCUAUUAUAUAAAGAAAGAUUUACACAUGUCUUUUGGUCCUUGCUUGAUACUUAAUUCUAAAUAGGAUAGCUGAAACAUAGAGAAUUUUUUUCCAUUUUUUUCUGGAUGACCAACUCGGUUGUUAAUUGGUCUUUUCUGAAGAUUUUGAUGUGAUAGUUGUUUCUAAAACAAUAAAUAUGCGUCAGAUUAAUUGGUUAUCUGUUUUAUGUAUUUUUUUGGGCGCAUAAUUAAUAGGGUUAGAGAUAUGAAGACAAUUAUGAAACGACAAAGGUAGGUACAUUAUACAAAAUAAGGACAUAAGGUUGUUGGCAAUGGACAUAAUAAGGUGAGAACAGGCUGUAGACAACUUAGACAAAAUUUGCUACUCAUUUCUUUCUCCUCCUAAAGUCCACGAUUUUAAGAGGGUUGGAUUAAAGUGAUAGCAUUUCUGUCUUCAAGCUUCCACCAAACUGGCCAUGACUUCUGGUGUAUCAUUGGUUCCCUUAACUAAGUUGGUUCAACUUGCUUACUUUAAUUUAUUAAUUGUUCUGCAGGUGUGUAGACAUCAAAAAUUUAACGGAUCAAACCCAUAUAAAAUUUGGACUUAAUCCUAAAUUUAAAACACUACAAGACAAGACUAUCCUUUCUCUUGCAACCCUAAUACCCAUCAAGGGUUUCUUGGAAGAUACUCUAUCCUAACUCUAGGUUACCUAUAAAAAAGCAGUACAUAUUCUCUUAAAGGGCCGGGAGAUCUCGAAAUUCCACAAAUUUAUGGAAUAUUCAUAAAUAGAUCAAAGACAUCAAAUAUUAUCUUUUUGAAAGAUGCCGAAGUGAUCAAAUAUUAUCUACAUCAUCCUAUGUUCGAGAAAUAUGUUGAUUAAGCCUACGAAUCACGGAGAAUAAUCAGGAAAGAAUAAUCAAGGGAGAAAAUAAAGAUAUACCCACAGAAAUUCAUCAAUACAAUUACUUUUCCUCAUAUUUUAUUUGUGAUUGCCAUUUAUUUUUCAUAGAUCGAAAAUUUAUUGCAAAAAAGUGAUCAGCUAACUAGUAUUAAUUAAUCGGAAUGCCUAGUGCCUAUAUAUCCUUCAUAUUGUUUUAGCUUUUGUCUAGUAGCAUUAUGAUUCUAAUUAAUUGGGAAAGACAAAUUAAAGUUACACCUUAUUCCAAGGGCAGAGGAACCUCACUGUUCAUACCAAACUUAAUAAAAUGAAUAAGGAUACGAACUCAUUUCAAAAGUAUUUUGAACCAUAAAUUACCGGCUAACUUCCAAAAGUUUAGGAGGUUUGGUGUCAAAAAUACGCGUCGAGCAUAUAUAAGCUGACUUUAUGUUUUCUAGAAACUAUAGAACUAAAAUAGUGUAUGUCUUUAGAUGUAAUUGUGUGGCCGGAAAGUUGGGGUUUUUGUACUUUUCUGUAGAUCACGCACAUGUGUUAGAGACUUUGGCAUAUAUACUGACUAUACCAUAACCAGCUGUGACAUUUUCUCAUUAGAAAUGAAACUUGACUUUUCAAAGGAUGCCUGGACAUCAUACGCGCGUCAAAAAGUGAAAAGAAACAGGAAAAAACUGGAUAUGUAAAAGAAAGAAAAAAAAGACUAGUGGUUGGAGAAAAGCAAAGAAGAAUGACAAAAAAAAAUGGAUCUCAUAAAAAGCGUUUGGUGAGUUCUUUGGUUGCUGGAGAAUAAGAUGCAAUGAUUUGAUUUUUCUUUUUCCUUUUCUGGAUUGCAUUUUCAUGGAGUAAACGAAGUAUAGAGGAUAAAAGGUUGGGACUAAAAAGUGUACGGUGGUCUUUUUAUUUUCACGUUAGUAGUUCACUUGAUUUGAAAGUAUGGCUUUUUCUGUUUGGGAUUAACAUUUUCACUAAAAAAUGUGAAUUUUUCUAUCCCACUUUCAAGUUCUGAGAUUGGCUAAUUAAAUAACCAAUUCUCAUUGAGAUGAUAUAGUUUGGAUUGAUUAUUUCUCAUUUGGUUGCUGUGAGUACUACAAGGUACGUUGUUCAAGAAGGAUAUAUGUAUUUAUUGUUCAUAGAUCUGUUAAUCGUAGUACCGUUUUGUAUCGUGAGACUUAAAAGAUAAAGGGGGAAAAAUGAAGUUAAAAAUAAUACUUCGACAUACAACUACAAAUUUCAAAUGUUUAUUACAGGGAAUAGCCUUUGCGAUUAGUAUUCGGUAGACAAACAAUUAUAAUAUAAUGGAACUAGCUACCUCUAUAGUGCAAUGUCUCCCUUUCAAGCAGUCGAUGUCAGUUGCCUUGGUUCUCAGCAUCCUUCCUUCCUUCUUUCUUUCUUUUUUCCUUUUUUUUUUCAUUUCCUAGUUGGACCACCAACGAGUGAAAAAUUCUGUUCUUUAAAAAUUUUGGGACUUUAGUCCCACUUAUGAUAGCAAAUUAAAUUUGUAUCAAUGUCCAAGCAAUAUACGGCUUUGAAGAGCAUAAGCCAUAUCCGCGCGUUCUGAUCUUAAAAUAUCCUGAUACCUUAUAGCAUCAAUUCAAUAGCGAAUGCACCGCCAGAAAAGCAGUGCCAGAAAUUUGUGAAAGCUUUAAAAAAUGCUAUAAUAUUGUAACAUUGCUUGAUAGAAAGGCAGUUUAGCGAUUUUUUAAAAGUUUAGAGAGAGAUUAUUUGAUAUAAAGGAAAAUUGUGUUAUUAUUCUGUU
rnacentral:lncRNA from 1 species